rnacentral:rRNA from 1 species
UACGGAGGGAGCUAGCGUUGUUCGGAAUUACUGGGCGUAAAGCGUGCGCAGGCGGUUAUGUAAGACAGUUGUGAAAUCCCCGGGCUCAACCUGGGAACUGCAUCUGUGACUGCAUAGCUAGAGUACGGUAGAGGGGGAUGGAAUUCCGCGUGUAGCAGUGAAAUGCGUAGAUAUGCGGAGGAACACCGAUGGCGAAGGCAAUCCCCUGGACCUGUACUGACGCUCAUGCACGAAAGCGUGGGGAGCAAACAGG